CCUACGGGGGGCAGCAGUGAGGAAUAUUGGUCAAUGGACGAGAGUCUGAACCAGCCAAGUAGCGUGAAGGAUGACUGCCCUAUGGGUUGUAAACUUCUUUUAUAAAGGAAUAAAACGAGGCACGUGUGCCUUUUUGCAUGUACUUUAUGAAUAAGGAUCGGCUAACUCCGUGCCAGCAGCCGCGGUAAUACGGAGGAUCCGAGCGUUAUCCGGAUUUAUUGGGUUUAAAGGGAGCGUAGAUGGGUUGUUAAGUCAGUUGUGAAAGUUUGCGGCUCAACCGUAAAAUUGCAAUUGAUACUGGCAGUCUUGAGUACAGUUGAGGUAGGCAGAAUUCGUGGUGUAGCGGUGAAAUGCUUAGAGAUCACGAAGAACCCCGAUGGCGAAGGCAGCUUACUAAACUGUGACUGACAUUGAUGCUCGAAAGUGUGGGUAGCAAACAGGAUUAGAUACCCGUGUAGUC
rnacentral:rRNA from 1 species